UAACUAGAAAAUAUCAUCUGAUUCAAUGAGUGCCUUUCCCCAUUUCUAUUUCUCACCUACCUGUAGAUUAAAUUUAGAAGAGAUGGCUGAGAAGGGGGAGCAGAGAGAGGAAGGCUGAAGAUGAGGUGGGGGCUGAUUACUGAGCACUGACCGGGUAUCGGAAACCUUGCCAGUCAUCUAUGGACAUCACUGCUUCAGCUCUUGGGAUUCUUUGGGAGUAGAUGGUAUUUUUAAAAGCAUCUAGCCUGGAGACAUAAUCGAAUCCAAUGGUUCCCAGCCUAACAAUUGAAAUCAUGUGGCAAGGAGAGUGUUUGCUAUCUCACCAGUUGUACACAUCCACUACAAGCCUACUAUGUGCUGCGAAUGGAGACAUCUCCUAUAUUUCAUGGAUCAACAGAAGAAUUACCCACAACAUAAAUCCGGAACUUCUGGGUUCUGACCCUGAUCCUGCCCCUUCUUAA
rnacentral:lncRNA from 1 species